GCAAGCGCAAUAGCGCGUGGAACACUGAGGAGCGCGGAACAGAGGGACAGAGCUCACUGGACGUAAGAGGUAGCUGCAAGGAGAUUGUGGUAGGUAAGGCGGGGGUGGGGGGAGAGACAGUGAGGCCGGGUAAAUGGGAAUCAUUCCCGUUAGCCAAUGAGUUUAAAGACAGAAGCAGAUGUCAUUAGACGGAGAAGUACCACCUCCAGGAGCUGGAGCAACCCCUCUGUGAAAAGCGUGUAAUGAGAGCCGCGCUGUCACAUUGGCAGCAGCUGUAUCAUUGUUGCGGGGCGCACAUUCACUCUCCCAGCAGCGGGAAGUGGCAACGGCGCAGGCCCACUGGGUCCAGAACCUGUCCCAGGAGAGACUCUGAGUGGAUAUUUGCCACGGGGUUAUCUGUGCCGGUUGUCAGGGAUCCUGUGACGGACACAUCUUUGAUGCCCCCGUCUUCCACAGAAGCAGUCACUGAGGAUUAGCUGCUGGAUUAUGUGUCAGGAGACAGGCACUGCUGCGUUUAUCUCCCACCCUGACACCACCUCCAUCGAAGAAGAGCCUCCUCUCCACCCACUCUCCCAUCAGCGGGAAGUGAUGACAGUUAGCCCUCCCGUUCAGGUACAGCAUGGGGCGAAAGAGGCCUUCUCUUGAAGAUUUUAUAUUUUUUUCGGUAGGAUGUGUGUGCCUGCAUACCAGCUCUCUGAGCAGCGCAUCAGUCAGUAGAACUGUAAAGGCCUUAUUAAUUGUGCGUUCAUUUCAGUGACGUCAAAGAUGAACUGCAGGCUUGAUUUUCAGUGAUGUUAAAGAUCAUAGUGAACAUGCUCUUCUGUGAUGUCAAGUAUUCGCCGCACUCAAGUGUUUCGGUGAUGUGAAGGAAAUCAGUCAUUUCAGGAUGAAAAACUAAAAUAAAAAUAAUUUGUAAAAAUAAAA